GCUCAGGAUGAACGCUGGCGGCAUGCCUAAUACAUGCAAGUCGAACGAGAGGAAGGAAAGCUUGCUUUUCUGAAUCUAGUGGCGAACGGGUGAGUAACACGUAGGUAACCUGCCCAUGUGCCCGGGAUAACUUCUGGAAACGGAUGCUAAAACCGGAUAGGUAGCAGACAAGCAUUUGACUGCUAUUAAAGUGGCCUUGGCCAUGAACAUGGAUGGACCUGCGGUGCAUUAGCUGGUUGGUGAGGUAACGGCCCACCAAGGCGACGAUGCAUAGCCGGCCUGAGAGGGCGGACGGCCACAUUGGGACUGAGACACGGCCCAAACUCCUACGGGAGGCAGCAGUA
rnacentral:rRNA from 1 species